ACCUGGCUAGCGCAGUUGGUAGCGCAUGGGACUCGAUCUCAGGCUUGUGGGUUUGAGCCCCAUGCUGGGCA